rnacentral:rRNA from 1 species
UACGGGGGGGAGCAAGCGUUGUUCGGAUUUACUGGGCGUAAAGGGCGCGUAGGCGGCCAGCACAAGUCAGUUGUGAAAUCUCCGGGCUUAACUCGGAAAGGUCAACUGAUACUGUGCGGCUAGAGUGCAGAAGGGGCAACUGGAAUUCUCGGUGUAGCGGUGAAAUGCGUAGAUAUCGAGAGGAACACCUGCGGCGAAGGCGACUACCUGGCCUGUUCUUGACGCUGAGGCGCGAAAGCUAGGGGAGCAAACGGG